GAGGGUAUAGUUAAGGGGCAGAGUACAUGCUUGGUAUGCACGAGGUCCUGGGUUCGAUCCCCAGUAACUCCA
rnacentral:tRNA from 1 species